rnacentral:lncRNA from 1 species
GCUGUGCAGAAUAUCAAAAUGAAUAUUAGCGAAUGUAACAAAUAAAAUGAAUACAUAAAAAAAAUAUAAUGAACGUAAUUAAUGACAUGUAAAAAUGCAAUUUUAAAAUUAACUGAUAAAAAAUCCUAAAAUUUGAUAAAUAAGGAUAGUUAUCGAUAAACUCAUUUAAAAAUUAUAAAAAAUUUAUUUUGAACAAUUAAAUAAAUAAAACUUAAAAAUUACGAAUUUUGAAAAUGUUAGGCCAAAAUUGGGUGUCAACA